rnacentral:rRNA from 1 species
ACGGGACCGCACAAGCGGUGGAUGAUGUGGAUUAAUUCGAUGCAACGCGAAAACCUUACCUACCCUUGACAUGUCCGGAAUCCCGAAGAGAUUUGGGAGUGCUCGCAAGAGAGCCGGAACACAGGUGCUGCAUGGCUGUCGUCAGCUCAUGUCGUGAGAUGUUGGGUUAAGUCCCGCAACGAGCGCAACCCUUGUCAUUAGUUGCCAUCAUUUGGUUGGGCACUCUAAUGAGACUGCCGGUGACAAACCGGAGGAAGGUGGGGAUGACGUCAAGUCCUCAUGGCCCUUAUGGGUAGGGCUUCACACGUCAUACAAUGGUCGGUACAGAGGGUUGCCAACCCGCGAGGGGGAGCUAAUCCCACAAAGCCGAUCGUAGUCCGGAUCGCAGUCUGCAACUCGACUGCGUGAAGUCGGAAUCGCUAGUAAUCGUGGAUCAGCAUGUCACGGUGAAUACGUUCCCGGGCCUU